GAAAUCUGGCCGUCAGGCCCGAGUUGUAAUUUGCAGAGGAUGUCUCGGGCGCGACUCCGGUCUAAGUUCUUUGGAACAGGACGUCAUAGAGGGUGAGAAUCCCGUACGCGACCGGCCGUCAACCCCGUGUGAGGCUCCUUCGACGAGUCGAGUUGUUUGGGAAUGCAGCUCUAAAUGGGUGGUAAAUUUCAUCUAAAGCUAAAUACCGGCCAGAGACCGAUAGCGCACAAGUAGAGUGAUCGAAAGAUGAAAAGCACUUUGGAAAGAGAGUUAAAAAGCACGUGAAAUUGUUGAAAGGGAAGCGCUUGCAACCAGACUUGCCCGCGGGUGAUCAGCCGUCCUUCGGGGCGGUGCACUCGCCCGCGAACAGGCCAGUAUCGGUUUCGGUGGUCGGAUAAAGGCAACGGGAACGUAGCUCCCCCCGGGGAGUCUUACAGCCCGUCGCGCAAUGCGAUCAGCCGGGACCGAGGACCGCGCU
rnacentral:rRNA from 1 species